rnacentral:rRNA from 1 species
AGAGUUUGAUCCUGGCUCAGAACGAACGCUGGCGGCAGGCUUAACACAUGCAAGUCGAACGCCCCGCAAGGGGAGUGGCAGACGGGUGAGUAACGCGUGGGAAUCUACCGUACCCUACGGAAUAACGCAUGGAAACGUGUGCUAAUACCGUAUACGCCCUUCGGGGGAAAGAUUUAUCGGGGUAUGAUGAGCCCGCGUUGGAUUAGCUAGUUGGUGGGGUAAAGGCCUACCAAGGCGACGAUCCAUAGCUGGUCUGAGAGGAUGAUCAGCCACAUUGGGACUGAGACACGGCCCAAACUCCUACGGGAGGCAGCAGUGGGGAAUAUUGGACAAUGGGCGCAAGCCUGACCCAGCCAUGCCGCGUGAGUGAUGAAGGUCUUAGGAUUGUAAAGCUCUUUCACCGAUGAAGAUAAUGACGGUAGUCGGAGAAGAAGCCCCGGCUAACUUCGUGCCAGCAGCCGCGGUAAUACGAAGGGGGCUAGCGUUGUUCGGAAUUACUGGGCGUAAAGCGCACGUAGGCGGAUAUUUAAGUCAGGGGUGAAAUCCCGCAGCUCAACUGCUGAACUGCCUCUGAUACUGGGUAUCUCGAGUAUGGAAAGAGGUGAGUGGAAUUCCUAGUGUAGAUGUUGAUAUUCGUAG